CAACACGCUCUGGGCAGUCAGAGGGCACGGAGGCACCGACAGGAUGACAGCCUCACACUGGUCUUUUUUCACCCUGCAGGAAAAUAUUCGACCUAGAAACCCUGGAUAAUAUACUGUCGCGAAGACAAGCACCAUCUGUCUUAUUGCCACGACUGGACCAUCGGCCGUUGUCCAUGCAGGCGCUGCUCGAAACGAAUGCCACCUCCAUCGUUCGCCGGCCCACGAGGCUGUGAAAACACUUCUGUUCCUUGAGGGCGGCUUGCCUUUGUGAACUCCUCUGGCCUGGUGGUGCCCUCCGCAUGCGUGUGCAAACUCACCGCAUCAUUCUUUCCGCUCUUUCUCGCUAUCUCUCAUUUUCAUAUUCCCCUUUCCCGUCCCACAGUGUAGGUUAUCCAACCAUACGCAUUUCUGGUAAAAUCCCUGCCGUCUCCCUGUCCUUCCUCUUUCGCCUUCUCCCCUACGAACCAGUUUCUGUUUCUUUUCACAGUAUGAAUGAAUGAAGGAAGGAACUUUAUUCCCUUUUUAAGAGAGGGGAGGAGCCGGUGGGGGGGGGGGUAAGAGAGGGAGGUCUAAGUACUCCAGUCCCAGCAGGCGUCCGUCACCACAUUAUGUGGCUAGCCAGACAUCGCGGCAUUUCGACUAUCGAGCAAGCUGAGCGAGCUCCGAAACCUCGUGAGGUGCUGCUCCCACGAGACCAAUUUCGGUGUCGUGACGUCACGGCACCUACAGCUCCGGAAAUGCGGAACAUCGUGAUAGAAUAGCUAGUGCAGUAAAUUAUAUUGCACGCUCUAAUGCUUGCUCGUAUUUUUCAUCGUUCCUAUGCCGACGAACUUCAUUCAAUUCAAAAAGUGAAAAGUCGGAAAUGUCAGAUUUUUUUAAAGGACAAAAACUCCUGACUUUCACGAGGAGAAUAUAGACAAGGUGGGCGCUUUUGUUGUUUCAGCGGGCAAUGUUCUAGACAGAGAUUUUCUUGCACUUGAAAGACAAUGUCCUCAAGUGGUGAAAACUUAUUUCUUGCUCAUUGGCAAGCAACCAAGCCUCAUGUGUAAAUGACCACGUAUA